UGGCUUGAAGAAGGUGUUUGAGUGCAAAUCAAACGGUGGGCCCGAGAUGGUCCUCAAGCCU
rnacentral:tRNA from 1 species